GACGAACGCUGGCGGCGUGCCUAAUACAUGCAAGUCGAACGCUUCUUUCCUCCCGAGUGCUUGCACUCAAUUGGAAAGAGGAGUGGCGGACGGGUGAGUAACACGUGGGUAACCUACCCAUCAGAGGGGGAUAACACUUGGAAACAGGUGCUAAUACCGCAUAACAGUUUAUGCCGCAUGGCAUAAGAGUGAAAGGCGCUUUCGGGUGUCGCUGAUGGAUGGACCCGCGGUGCAUUAGCUAGUUGGUGAGGUAACGGCUCACCAAGGCCACGAUGCAUAGCCGACCUGAGAGGGUGAUCGGCCACACUGGGACUGAGGCACGGCCCAGACUCCUACGGGAGGCAGCAGUAGGGAAUCUUCGGCAAUGGACGAAAGUCUGACCGAGCAACGCCGCAUGAGUGAAGAAGGUUUUCGGAUCGUAAAACUCUGUUGUUAGAGAAGAACAAGGACGUUAGUAACUGAACGUCCCCUGACGGUAUCUAACCAGAAAGCCACGGCUAACUACGUG
rnacentral:rRNA from 1 species